rnacentral:rRNA from 1 species
GUGGGGAAUCUUCCGCAAUGGACGAAAGUCUGACGGAGCAACGCCGCGUGAGUGAAGAAGGUUUUCGGAUCGUAAAGCUCUUUCGUUAGGGACGAACGUGCUCUUUGUGAAUAAUGAGGAGUAAUGACGGUACCUAAAUAAGAAGCCACGGCUAACUACGUGCCAGCAGCCGCGGUAAUACGUAGGUGGCAAGCGUUGUCCGGAAUUAUUGGGCGUAAAGCGCUCGCAGGCGGGAUAUCAAGUCUGUCUUAAAAGUGAGAGGCUCAACCUCGUGAGGGAACAGAAACUGGUAUUCUUGAGUGUCGGAGAGGAAAGUGGAAUUCCAAGUGUAGCGGUGAAAUGCGUAGAGAUUUGGAAGAAUACCAGUGGCGAAGGCGACUUUCUGGACGAUGUCUGACGCUGAGGCGCGAAAGCUAGGGGAGCGAACGGGAUUAGAAACCCCUGUAGUUC